CGCGAGACAGUUCGGUCCCUAUCUGUUAUGGGCGAUGGAAGUUUGAGAGGAGCUGCUUUUAGUACGAGAGGACCGAAGUGGACGAACCUCUGGUUUACCAGUUAUCCUGCCAAGGGUAAGUGCUGGGUAUCUAAGUCCGGAAGGGAUAACCGCUGAAAGCAUCUAAGCGGGAAGCCCACCUCAAGAUUAGACUUCCCUGGAACUUUAAGUUCCCUGAAGACUCCUGGGAGACUACCAGGUUGAUAGGAUGCAGGUGUAAGCGUCGUGAGGCGUUCAGCCGAGCAUUACUAAUAAGUCGUGAGACUUGGCCAU
rfam:Treponema bryantii strain B25 genome assembly, contig: Ga0070255_103